rnacentral:rRNA from 1 species
GGACUACAAGGGUUUCUAAUCCUGUUCGCUCCCCACGCUUUCGCACAUUAGUGUCAGUAACGUCCCAGCGAGCUGCCUUCGCUAUUGGUGUUCCUCCUGAUAUCUGCGCAUUCCACCGCUACACCAGGAAUUCCACUCGCCUCUUCCGUACUCUAGCCCCACAGUAUCCACCGGCUUUCAAAGGUUGAGCCUUUGACUUUCACAGCGGACUUAUGAGGCCACCUACGUGCGCUUUACGCCCAAUGAUUCCGGACAACGCUUGCUCCCUACGUAUUACCGCGGCUGCUGGCAC